AACCUUGUUAGAAAGGCCCUUGCUU
rnacentral:misc_RNA from 1 species